GAUUGAAGGUUGUUGCCUUGUGAUUUCUUAAGUGAACUUUUGGACACCUCCUCCUCAUACUCAGCUGUUCCCUGCCAGCUCCUCCUUCAAUCAGCACCAUAGUGUUGGCUACAGCAUCAUUAACUCAAACCAGUACGUUUAGUUCACUUCCCUUCACAUCUGUUUGUUCACUUGUAGCAUGUAGCAGGUUUGUAACAGUCUAGUAGAAGAACUUCAUUUGUUUAUUCAGAAAACAGGGGUGCUGCUACACAUGCAGGCAAUACAACUUUCCCUGUACCCGAAGAAAGAUGCAAAUAACAUUAGUACUCAACGCUCAAGCACUGUGUGACUGUCCUCUGCUCAUCUGCUUUCUGGUAAGUUUUUAUUUUCAAAAUUUCUGAAUAGUGGAAAAUAUCAUUAACUUAAUCACUUUGUUUUCUGCAAAUAUACCAAGCAUUCAUAUUCUGUAGUUCUUAAUCCUAGCCCUGGAGUACAAUUAUCUUGCUUAUUUCCUGAUAAUCAGUUAAUGCUGAUAAUCACAACAUUUUUUUAUU